rnacentral:tRNA from 1 species
GCGAAGGUGGCGGAAUGGCAUACGCGCUAGCUUGAGGUGCUAGUGUCGGAUUCGAUGUGUGGGUUCAAAUCCCAUCCUUCGCACCA